rnacentral:rRNA from 1 species
GAUGAACGCUGGCGGCGUGCUUAACACAUGCAAGUCGAACGGGAAGGCUCCUGCUUGCCGGGGUACUCGAGUGGCGAACGGGUGAGUAACACGUGGGUGAUCUGCCCUGCACUUCGGGAUAAGCCUGGGAAACUGGGUCUAAUACCGGAUAGGACCACAUUUUGGAUGGUGUGGUGGAAAGUUUUUCGGUGUGGGAUGAGCUCGCGGCCUAUCAGCUUGUUGGUGGGGUAAUGGCCUACCAAGGCGUCGACGGGUAGCCGGCCUGAGAGGGUGUACGGCCACAUUGGGACUGAGAUACGGCCCAGACUCCUACGGGAGGCAGCAGUGGGGAAUAUUGCACAAUGGGCGCAAGCCUGAUGCAGCGACGCCGCGUGGGGGAUGACGGCCUUCGGGUUGUAAACUCCUUUCGCUAGGGACGAAGCGUUUUUGUGACGGUACCUGGAGAAGAAGCACCGGCUAACUACGU